rnacentral:rRNA from 1 species
GCAACGUCAGCCCAUACGUACGUACGCCCGAGCAGUGGUGGGCGUCGCCCAGCUUGGCUCAGGCGGCUAGAGGGCGAGCACGAGGCCGGGGAGGGAGUUGCGGGCGCGGUCGGGGCGGCGGCUCUGCCAGACGCACUUGGACGCUGCGGCGGCGGCGAGGCGCGUCACGGUGAGGUCGGUGUUGAAGUACUCGCGCAGCUGGGUGAUCACCCCAUCGCCCCCCACGGUCCACGCGUGCACCCAGUACGCCUUGGCCUUGUCGUCCACGCCCUCGGCGAUGACGGUGGAGCCGAAGGCGUCGACGGAGCGCGGCUGGAAGCGGAAGGAGGAGGAGCUGGAGCCGGUGAGGAGGCGCAUCAUGUGCUGGUGCGCGGGCGGGCCAUGGAACCACC